rnacentral:rRNA from 1 species
GACGAACCGUGCGAACGUUGUUCGGAUUCACUGGGCUUAAAGGGCGCGUAGGCGGACGGUCAAGUCGGGGGUGAAAUCUUUCAGCUUAACUGGAAAAGUGCCUCCGAUACUGAUCGUCUCGAGGGAGGUAGGGGCAUGUGGAACUUCCGGUGGAGCGGUGAAAUGCGUAGAUAUCGGGAGGAACACCAGUGGCGAAGGCGAUCACCUGGGGUUGUUCUGACGCUGAGGAGCGAAAGCUAGGGGAGCAAACGGG